ACCGGCGCACGGGUGAGUAACGCGUAUCCAACCUCCCGCAUACUCGGGGAUAGCCUUCUGAAAGGAAGAUUAAUACCCGAUGGUAUCUCAAGAGCACGGUGCGAUUAAGAUUAAAGAAUUUCGGUAUGCGAUGGGGAUGCGUUCCAUUAGGUAGUAGGCGGGGUAACGGCCCACCUAGCCCUCGAUGGAUAGGGGUUCUGAGAGGAAGGUCCCCCACAUUGGAACUGAGACACGGUCCAAACUCCUACGGGAGGCAGCAGUGAGGAGUAUUGGUCAAUGGGCGCGAGCCUGAACCAGCCAAGUAGCGUGAAGGAUGACUGCCCCAUGGGUUGUAAACUUCUUUUGCCCGGGAAUAAAACCGCCUACGUGUAGGCGCUUGUAUGUACCGGUACGAAUAAGC
rnacentral:rRNA from 1 species